rnacentral:rRNA from 1 species
UCCCUUGUGGUUUGUAUACAGGUGGUGCAUGGUUGUCGUCAGCUCGUGUCGUGAGAUGUUGGUUAAGUCCCGCAACGAGCGCAACCCUUGUCUUAUGUUGCCAGCACGUGAUGGUGGGGACUCAUGAGAGACUGCCGGGGUUAACUCGGAGGAAGGUGGGGAUGACGUCAAAUCAUCAUGCCCCUUAUGUCCAGGGCUUCACACAUGCUACAAUGGUCGGUACAACGCGUUGCGAGCCUGUGAGGGUGAGCGAAUCGCUGAAAGCCGGCCUCAGUUCGGAUUGGGGUCUGCAACUCGACCCAUGAAGUCGGAGUCGCUAGUAAUCGCAGAUCAGCAACGCUGCGGUGAAUACGUUCCCGGGCCUUGUACACACCGCCGUCACGUCAUGAAAGUUGGUAACACCCGAAGCCCAUGGCCCAACCAGUUUCUGGGGGGAGUGGUCGAAGGUGGGAUCGGCGAUUGGGACGAAGUCGUAACAAGGUAGCCGUACCGGAAGGUGCGGCUGGAUCACCUCCUU